rnacentral:lncRNA from 1 species
AGCAGUCCUUCCCUGGGGCUCCUGAGUGACAGCUCGUUCCAGUGGGGGUGGGGGUGUUGCAGCACUGACUUGGUGGUAACUGCUGUCCACAGUCUCUGGCCCCAGCCCCAGCCCCGGCCCCUCAAAAGGGUCUGUGUGGUGGCUGCUCGGAGCCAAGAAAGGUUCAGCGAAGGAUGAGACCAACUGGGCUGUGAGACCUCAAGCAGGCCCCAGCCCUCUGUUGGCCUCAGGCAGGCCCCGCCGAGGCGUCCUCUUCAAUGCCUGUAUGGCUUCGUGCCUGCACGAGACCCUCCCAGAACCGCACCCGACACACAGUGGGAACUCCAUGAGCUUUGUUGAGUGGGUGAAUUCACAGGGCUGCCAUGCAGGGCGGGGAGGAAGGAGGUAGUCUUGCCACCCUCCUGGUACACCCCGGGGACGUCUGUGGGAGAGGGGAUACCUGCUCUGGGCAGCCCGCCAGGCAUAGCCAGACCGGCCCUGCCCCUCCAGCCUGCAGCCCAGGCCCCCGGGACUGGCCUUCGCAUCCUCUUGGGAGCCAUCCUUUGCGCUGCGUCUAGGCCCAAGCCAGGCUUGCCGCCCACUCAGACAGCAGUGUCCUCACCAGGCACAUCCGGUCGGGCUAGUCUGGGGUCUGGUAAUUGUGGCCAGGACAGGUGGGAGGUCACCAGCCUCCUGCGGAGCCUCCCAGCCCCCAACCUUAGGCUGUGGCCUGGGAUGUUCACGGCUGGGAUGACACCACCCUGCUGGGCCACACGAAGCUGCUAUAGGAUGCUACUGCCAGGUUGUUCUGAGUGGGCUGAACCCAUGAUGGUGUGUGGUCAGGGGUUCCAAGGCAGGCAUUUCCCCUGCAGGGGUGGGAAUGGCCAGAGUUCAGACCUCGGGGCUGCCUAGGGGUGGGCAGCAGAGGCUGCCACAGCCCCAGCAGCAGUAUCUGGGCUGGGGGAAGUGGGGCUGGGGUCCCAGGGCAGGGCACAGCCCAGCUGGCUGCUGAGUGAUGGCGCUGCCUUUGAGGGAGGUGAGGGGCAGGGGUUCUAGUCUUGCCGGCUCCCGCUCAGCCUUGACUGCCAGGAAAGCAGCCAGGUCCAGGUCUAGCAUGGCCACCCCUCCGCGAGGCGUGGGCGUGCUCUGACGGCACUGCGGACAGGGGAUCCAGCGCUGCUCGGGCGCCGGUGUGUCCAGCCGCCGCACACACGCCUGGCAGAAGCAUCCUGCCAGAGGGAAGCCAGCGGUGGACAGCCUGCCUCGAGGACCUUCUGCCUGGAUGGGGUGCUGGCCCCAGGAGCCCACCCCAGAGGUCAGGCGCUGGGUCUGUGGGGCUGGUGCGUGCAGACCUGGGAGGGAGCGUGGCACCGGGCACAGGCAGACACCAGGGUCUGCACACUUCUGGUUCAUGUGGGCACCAGCCGGGCAGCCUCCUGUUCCCGCAGCACCACCCUGGCCCAGCUCCAGGCCCCCACCCUCCUGGCCGACCUGAGCCCAGGCCUCUUACCUGCAUGGGCUCUGCUGGGCAGCUAUGCACAGCCACGGGGUGGCCGGAGAAGGGAGUGGGGGACCCAGGGCGCCCUGCGGCUCCCUCCUGGGUUGCAUUACUGGCCUUGCACGGGAGUCAGGAGAGAGGCAGGUGGCCAGCUGCGGCGGGCGUGGGCUCCCGUUUCAGCCACAAAGCCUUGAAACUAGAUCUAACGGCACCACCCACUUGCAAGAGAUAAGGUGCCCCCCGCCC